rnacentral:rRNA from 1 species
UACGAAGGGGGCGAGCGUUGUUCGGAUUUACUGGGCGUAAAGGGCGCGCAGGCGGCUCAUUUUGUCAGACGUGAAAUCCCCAGGCUCAACCUGGGAACUGCGUCUGAUACUGGCGAGCUUGAGUGCAGGAGAGGAACGCGGAAUUCCAGGUGUAGCGGUGAAAUGCGUAGAUAUCUGAAGGAACACCGGUGGCGAAGGCGGCGUUCUGGACUGCAACUACACUGAUAAA